rnacentral:rRNA from 1 species
UACGAAGGGAGCUAGCGUUGUUCGGAAUUACUGGGCGUAAAGGGCGCGUAGGCGGCUUCGAUAGUUGGGCGUGAAAUGCCUGGGCUCAACCCAGGAACUGCGCUCAAUACUACGAGGCUUGAGUGUGGGAGAGGAUAGUGGAAUUCCCAGUGUAGAGGUGAAACUCGUAGAUAUUCGCAAGAACACCAGUGGCGAAGGCGGCUCACUGGCCCGAUACUGACGCUGAGGUGCGAAAGCGUGGGGAGCAAACAGG